UUACUGGAAACGGGGAGGUCGUAUUACGGCCUGAGAGUUCCGCGCGGUAAGCGGAUUACCCUAACGACCUGAUCUGGAUAAUGCCAGCGGAGGGAAAGGAGGCUGAGAAUAU
rnacentral:ncRNA from 1 species